ensembl:lncRNA
GUCUGUUUUAAAAACUCUUUUUUUGGUCACGUAUUAAUUUUUAAACAACUCUAAAUGUCUCAGAGCAAUUAUAACACCCAAGACUUAAGUAGGUCUACUUAAAAUAGAAACGUUCUGUACGUAUGUUUCAUCUUCAGAAGUCAAUGACCCUCCUGCUAAGGAGAGUAGCAGCCAACUGGCAGUCUCAUCAAGCCCAUCGCAGUUCCUUCUAAAAUUACAUAACCUGGGAAUACACGUACCACAGCAGUCAGUGCUGUGAACAGUGCUCCUCUUUCACCCUAAAGCUUGUGUUCUGUGAAGUAACAGCGAUCUUCAUAUACACACUUACAAAGAAAUAUUUAAUUUCAAGAAUAAAGUAGGUGAGACAGCAGGAGCUGUAUCUACUGACAAAGAGAAGCAGAGGUAAAUGCUCAAAGAGAUUUGUCUAGAAGAUGAAUCAUAGAGCAUGGAUUGGAAAGAGGAGCAGCAGCAGAAAUAUUCAGUACUCGGAAAAUAUCUAGAGGUGACAUUAGAAAUAAU